rnacentral:rRNA from 1 species
GACGAACGCUGGCGGCGUGCUUAACACAUGCAAGUCGAACGAUGAACCCGGAGCUUGCUCCGGUGGAUUAGUGGCGAACGAGUGAGUAACACGUGAGUAACCUGCCCUUGACUCUGGGAUAACUGCGGGAAACUGUAGCUAAUACCGGAUACGACCCUCGGCGGCAUCGCCAGGGGGUGGAAAGAAUUUCGGUCAAGGAUGGACUCGCGGCCUAUCAGCUAGUUGGGGAGGUAACGGCUCACCAAGGCGACGACGGGUAGCCGGCCUGAGAGGGUGACCGGCCACACUGGGACUGAGACACGGCCCAGACUCCUACGGGAGGCAGCAGUGGGGAAUAUUGCACAAUGGGCGCAAGCCUGAUGCAGCAACGCCGCGUGAGGGAUGACGGCCUUCGGGUUGUAAACCUCUUUUAGUAGGGAAGAAGCGAAAGCGACGGUACCUGCAGAAAAAGCACCGGCUAACUACGUGCCAGCCGCCGCGGUAAGAC